UAUGACUCAAAGGGCCCUGGCCCAAAUGUAUCUUCCAGCAAGUGGUAUCAUUAACUGGUUUCUCCUUAGCUCUGCUCUCAUCUCCUCAACAGUCAAUCCAAAAACGUUGUUUGUUACUUCGCGAGUCUAAUCUCUGCCUGCAGAACAGUUAGGUUUUUUAGGAAGAGAAGAUGGGGUUUAUCAUGGAAUUUGCUGAGAAUUUGAUUCUGAGGUUAAUGGAGGAUCCAAAGGAGAGGGACCGGAAGUUCAGGGAGCGUGUAUAUGCAGUUAAGGAUCGAUGCCAAAAGACCAAGGAAAUGUGGAGCUAUCCUCUUCGCCCUUAUGGGUUUUGGACAUUUGAGCGCCACAAUGCGCAGCUUGCUUGGGAUGCUAAGAUUAGCCAGGUUCCUGGUCGGAGGGACCCCUAUGAUGACCUCCUUCAAGAUAGUUAUGGCUUCCCCAAGUGAAUGAAUUCACUCAAGUGUUUUGACAAUGAGAAUAUAAGAUUGCUUGGAGGGGCAAUGAUGGCUUAGCUAUUGAAAAUAAAGUUCAGUUUCCAUUAGCAGACUGACAAGAAAAGCUUUUUUGGAGAAACGAGUGUGGAGAUUGAUGUUUAAGCUCUUUUUCUUUUUCCUGUCUCACAGUCAUGUAUUCUGUGGACUGUACGGAUGUCAGCUGAUUUCGUAAUACCCUGGAUGUCCGAGACUUGUUCAUGAGUUUGAAUAAUUGCCCAUAUAACUCGUCUAUGGAAUUGAAUGUUCAUGAUUA